CAGUAGCCGCGGUAAAACAGAGGGUGCGAGCGUUAAUCGGAUUUACUGGGCGUAAAGCGUGCGCAGGCGGUUAUAUAAGACAGAUGUGAAAUCCCCGGGCUCAACCUGGGAACUGCAUUUGUGACUGUAUAGCUAGAGUACGGCAGAGGGGGAUGGAAUUCCGCGUGUAGCAGUGAAAUGCGUAGAUAUGCGGAGGAACACCGAUGGCGAAGGCAAUCCCCUGGGCCUGUACUGACGCUCAUGCACGAAAGCGUGGGGAGCAAACAGGAUUAGAUACCCCCGUAGUCCCUGUCUCUUAUAC
rnacentral:rRNA from 1 species